GACGAACGCUGGCGGCGUGCUUAAUACAUGCAAGUCAACUGAACUUGAGGUAGCAAUAUCACAAGAGAGGUGGCGCACGGGUGAGUAACACGUAGGUAAUCUGCCUUUAGGUCUGACAUAAUUCCGCGAAAGCGGGACUAAUAUCAGAUGAUGCAGCGGCUCGACAUCGAGACAGUUGUUAAACCUUCGGGGCCUAAAGAUGAGCCUGCGUCUGAUUAGGUAGUUGGCGGAGUAAAAGCCCACCAAGCCUGCGAUCAGUAGCUGGUCUGAGAGGAUGAUCAGCCACACUGGAACUGAGACACGGUCCAGACUCCUACGGGAGGCAGCAGUAAGGAAUAUUGCUCAAUGGCCGAAAGGCUGAAGCAGCAACGCCGCGUGGAGGAUGAAAUACUUUUGUA
rnacentral:rRNA from 1 species